AGCAAUUUGGCGCAGAGGAAGCGCGCGGGGCUCAUAACCCUGAGGUCCCAAGAUCGAAACUUGGAAUUGCUA
rfam:Marssonina brunnea f. sp. &apos;multigermtubi&apos; MB_m1 unplaced genomic scaffold M6_S00009, whole genome shotgun sequence.